CUGAGGAGGGUUUGUAACAUGG
rnacentral:miRNA from 1 species